rnacentral:rRNA from 1 species
UGGGGAAUAUUGCGCAAUGGGCGAAAGCCUGACGCAGCGACGCCGCGUGAGGGAUGAAGGUUUUCGGAUCGUAAACCUCUGUCAGAAGGGAAGAAACCGCACUGUGCUAAUCAGCAGUGCCUUGACGGUAACUUCAAAGGAAGCACCGGCUAACUCCGUGCCAGCAGCCGCGGUAAUACGGAGGGUGCAAGCGUUAAUCGGAAUUACUGGGCGUAAAGCGCACGUAGGCUGCUUUGUAAGUCAGGGGUGAAAUCCCACGGCUCAACCGUGGAACUGCCUUUGAUACUGCUUAGCUUGAAUCCGGGAGAGGGUGGCGGAAUUCCAGGUGUAGGAGUGAAAUCCGUAGAUAUCUGGAGGAACAUCAGUGGCGAAGGCGGCCACCUGGACCGGUAUUGACGCUGAGGUGCGAAAGCGUGGGGAGCAAACAGG